CAUAAUGAUGUAGAGAGUUAAGGUCAACCAACAAGUUUAAAUCCCCACUCUAGACAGAGAAUGGUCUGACCAAACUGUUGGAGAUGAAUAACCACACUGAUCAUAUUCGAAAAACAUAAGAGGUUUAAGAAACAAAAUCAGAAAAUUAUUUAAUAGUUUGCAUGUUUGUUAAGGAUUAGAUUAGUUCAAAGACAGUGACACUUAUUUAUUGUUAUGGACACUGGAUAUACACCUGUUGAACAAUCACAAAACAUAGAUUGGAGCAAGGAUCACGCAACGUUUUCCAGAAGGAAAAACAAGGAUAUAUCCAAAGAAAGUUACCGCACUUCUCGUGAUGAUGAUGGAUGUAGUACAAGGAGUGCCAAAACGCGUCGCUCUCCUGAUAGGAGGACACAGCAAGACAGUGGAAGCAGAGGAGGGAGUUUGCGUUCCAAGGAUUGCCAUGGAUGGGCAAGACACAAGCAAGAACAGAGAUGGAGCCAAUUCUUUCCCGCUUUCUCCUUCGUCUCUCUAUCUCUCUUUCAGUUUCCCCGAGGAUUGCCAUGGAUGGGUUCGACCAAGAACAAGAUUAUCAGAAUUCGAUUGGUUCAAUAAUUGGUGGCAUCGAAUUUGAAGCCGAAGAAGAACCCAUUAUCCCUGAAACUCAUCUUUUUUUUAUUCUGUUCUACAACUCCCCCUAAUCUAUCUUCUUUCUCCAUCA